GGAUGUAUUUCUUAAUUAAGUGCGAGCAAUAUUAUGUAUUGCAUAAAAAAAAAUUAAAAUAGUGGAAGGAAGUAAAAUGUGCAUUGCAAAAUUUAGCAAAGGCAGUUUCGAAGCGGAGAUUAUUGAUUCGCGAGAAGAUCGUGAAAUACUGGACCAGCAAUGUCAAUAACUUAAUAAGGACUUACUAGAAGCAGAUACUAAGUUAAAUGAAAGUGAAGCAACAACGAACGAUGAUAAAUCCGAGGAGCCAUUAGCAGCUUAUAAGUCAAAUACUGACACAACAAAUAAAAGCAACCUGGGACAAUUUGAAGCUUUCGGUAUGUGUGCAAUUAUUAAAACUAAGCCAGGACUAAAUAAAAAAUCAUUUGCAUUACACUUCUGACAGAGUUAUGUUUUGUAAUGUAUUUAUUAUUAUAUGUUAAGUUUUAAAUAUGCAUAAUUGUGAGUACCACAGUUUUAAGGCCAGAGUCGGAAAAUAUCAAAAGAUUUAUAGCCUUAUUAGUGUUGAAAACAAUUUAAUUAUCAUUUGUAUUAUGAGUUACUCACAUAUGCAAAAUAAGAUCAAUUUAUUAUAAAAAGCUACACAAAAGACACAAUCGGUCAUUACUUUUCUAGGAAUAGUGUAUUCUCUUGUACGCUAUAUGCCUCCGGACGUACAAACCUUUUUUAGUAUUCAAACACCUUUUGCUAAUUUGUAUUUUAACUAAAGCUAACAUUGUAUACUGAUAAUACUCGCCUUUUGGAUUGUUACCUAAUUGGUGCUAGUACCAGUUAUUUUGUGUUCGUUUCAGGUGUCUUGUGCCCGUCUUAUAUUAACAUGUAAAAUAAAUAAAUGUAUUAAUAAAAUACUUAUACCUUAACAUAA
rnacentral:sRNA from 1 species